CCCAUCUCUCGUCACAGUGACCCCCACGGUCGCCUGAGGGACGGGUCCCUGAGGCGUGGCAAAGCAGGAGCCCCCCGUGGCAGCGUGUGUGUGUGGAAGCUCCAAGGCUCCGGACUGACCUCUCCAGGGGGUCGACAGUUCGGUCUCCGAAUUCUAGGAGUCGCGGAGGGCGGACCAGGAUGAAGAAACCACAGGCGGAAUCGCGGGAAGCAGCGCCGCAUCCCAGCCUCAGGCCUGCCCGCACCGUUUGCGGGAUCAAGACGACAACACCACACCUGUGGACAUUUUUUAAAGGAGUCCCAGCCUGACUUCUCGGAGUCAUGCAUAAGUCGGCCUGACUAAUGCAAGCUAUCUUUCCCCCACAAAGCCAAAACGGAAAAUUGUUCCCGCCUUUUCAGGACAGCAGUGAUGAGCAGCAGGAUGCCCUGAGCUUUGAGACCUAGACAGGGCCCUGGGAGGCCCAGGUCAAAGGGAGGCAAUGAGCUCAUGAACCGGGAAUUUUUGGCUGACACCCUCCCCUGGGGUCUCAGUUUUCUGUGCCCCAGCAACCCCCUCCACACCUCACCAGAUUGAAUACCCAGCCCCAGGGGACCUGAUUUUUGGCCACACCAUCCAAUCCAUAAUCGGAGCAGAAGGGCAGUCCCGAGUGCCCACCUCAUGGUCUGAAGGGCCCCCUCCUCCAUCGAGACCCGAACAUGUCAGGGUCCUGUGCUGCUUGUCCCACGCAGCCUCCUUCCCAGGCCGCUACUGGCUCUGCCCUCACCAUUUUCCUGUGUGGCUGCGGCCUGACAGCCCUGACAUUGCGGUGCGCCAGCUGGACACUAGAAUGCACAUGCGCCAGGCGGGAGUCACCAGGUGCAAGUGCUGAGCCGUGACUCGCGUCACAGUGACCACCACCAUUGCCUGGGGACGGAUCCUAGCGGCUUGGUGGAGCAGGAGCCCUCUUUGGCAGUGUGUCAGCCUUCGGCUGGGCCCCUCCUCACCGGGGGAUUGUCGUCAUGGUCCUAGGAGUCAGGCAGGGCCAAACCAAGCUGAAGAAACGUCAGACGGGUCCCCAAGGAUACACUGCGAGAUCCCUAAGGAUGUACCACGAGAUCCCUAAGGAUCCCCACAAUGCAUCAGGCUUGCCUAGACGGCGUGAGGAUGCGUCUUUUUGACAGCUGUCCCCCCCUCCCCCAUUUCGACAUAUGGCCUGCCUGUGUGCCCUGGGGCUGCUCUCUCCCCAGAGGCUGUGUUUCUGUGCGAGUGUUGGAUACCUCCGUGUGUGUGUGUGUGUGUGUGUGUGUGUGUGUGUGUUUGGUGAAAUGAAUGUGGCUUGUGCAGUUGAGCACGGUUUCCCUGUAGUCCACCUACCUUCUGGUGCAUCUCUCUCUUUGGCUCUACUUGGGUUGUGGGGCCCCAUGUCCUUAGUUUUGCUCUUGGUUCCUAAAACCUAGGUGAAGUGGGGGGCUGUCCCAGACCCGCAGGCCUCCAAAUCACCGGGGGCCACUCUUUUAGAAAAAAGAACGGCGCACCACACCCAAGAACAGACAUCUCGCAGGGGUCCAUGGUCCUGUGGCACACCCAGGGUCAGACCCUAGCCGUCCCUGCCUCAGGACCCCCUUGAGCCCAUUUCAAAUUCGGUUGCCAGCAGUGCAGGAGCUUCAGGAGGUGAUGCGGGCACUCCUUCAUCCUCUUUGGAUUUUCACAGCACUACAUUUGGUAAUUUUUUUUUUUUGAUGAUACCAAAUAUACAGGCAU